rnacentral:rRNA from 1 species
AUACGUAGGUGGCAAGCGUUGUCCGGAAUUACUGGGUGUAAAGGGCGUGUAGGCGGGGAUGCAAGUCAGAUGUGAAAUUCCGGGGCUCAACCCCGGCACUGCAUCUGAAACUGUGUCUCUUGAGUGCUGGAGAGGAAAGCGGAAUUCCUAGUGUAGCGGUGAAAUGCGUAGAUAUUAGGAGGAACACCAGUGGCGAAGGCGGCUUUCUGGACAGUAACUGACGCUGAGGCGCGAAAGCGUGGGUAGCAAACAGGAUUAGAUACCCGGGUAGUCCACGCCGUAAACGAUGGAUACUAGGUGCAGGAGGUAUCGACCCCUUCUGUGCCGCAGUUAACACAAUAAGUAUUCCGCCUGGGGAGUACGGCCGCAAGGUUGAAACUCAAAGGAAUUGACGGGG